GACGAACGCUGGCGGCGUGCUUAACACAUGCAAGUCGAACGGAAAGGCCCUGCUUUUGUGGGGUGCUCGAGUGGCGAACGGGUGAGUAACACGUGAGUAACCUGCCCUUGACUUUGGGAUAACUUCAGGAAACUGGGGCUAAUACCGGAUAGGAGCUCCUGCUGCAUGGUGGGGGUUGGAAAGUUUCGGCGGUUGGGGAUGGACUCGCGGCUUAUCAGCUUGUUGGUGGGGUAGUGGCUUACCAAGGCUUUGACGGGUAGCCGGCCUGAGAGGGUGACCGGCCACAUUGGGACUGAGAUACGGCCCAGACUCCUAAGGGAGGCAGCAGGGGGGAAUAUUGCACAAUGGGCGGAAGCCUGAUGCAGCAACGCCGCGUGCGGGAUGACGGCCUUCGGGUUUUAAACCGCUUUCGCCUGUGACGAAGCGUGAGUGACGGUAAUGGGUAAAGAAGCACCGGCUAACUACGUG
rnacentral:rRNA from 1 species